GUGGGAUAAGCCUAAAUAUUCCUGUCUGACCGAUAGCGAACGAGUACCGUGAGGGAAAGGUGAAAAGUACCCCGGGAGGGGAGUGAAACAGUCUCUGAAACCAUGCGCCUACGAACCGUCGGGGCCCCCUUGUGGGGUGACGGCGUGCCUAUCGAAAAAUGAGUCUGCGAGUCAGUGGCAUGUGGCGAGCAUAACCCGUGUGGGGUAUGCGUAGCGAAGGCGAGUCUUAAAAGGCGUUUGAGUCGCGUGUCCUGGACCCGAAGCGGGAUGAUCUAGCCCUGAGCAGGUUGAAGCGCGGGUAAGACCGUGUGGAGGACCGAACCCACCUGGGUUGAAAACCGGGGGGAUGACUUGGGGCUAGGGGUGA
rnacentral:rRNA from 1 species